rnacentral:lncRNA from 1 species
CGUGAUUGAUUUGUGUUCUAGGAAUUUAAAGGCGCCCCUUCUUUCCUGCCUUUGAGGAGCAGGGGUAUACCUGCCUCUCCUGACUCCUCUCUCCCCACUCUGCUGGGGGGGGUUGCAAUGGCCCAGGCAGGGUGUGGGGUGCCCCCUCCCCUCCCUGUGGGCACUCCAGACACUCCCAGAGGCCUUGUUUCCUCCCUCUUCCUUGACCUGAGUGCGCGUUAGCUGUGAUUCCAGACCACAGGAGAAACCCAGUCCCGUCCGGUUCUAGAAGCGUUUACCGCAGAGGGCCGGGGACAGCAUUACAGGAAAAGAUUCUUGGGAAGCGUCCGCUCCAGCGCCUGGCACAGAGCCAGCCCCAGUUGUCCACAUGUUGACCACGACCACCCACACCUGCUGUUUCAUGGAAGAAGCAGCAGUUAGGCUGAGAAGAGGGACAGCCCGCACUGCUGGGUGGGGCUGACUCAAGGGGCGGCGCCUGCAUCUCCGCCUUCACACGCAGGUACCGGGCUGAGGGUACCGCCCACUUCCUCCAGCAGCAGGCCGGUGCCGGACCCUCCCCCCAGCUGCACGUGCUGCAGAACUGCUGCGUCCUCAGAGCCUACUGCGGCAUCACUUCGGGAGGGAAGACAAGGAGCUGGCUCACACUCUGCGAUCCCUCCGGCGGGGCCUGGAGCGCUAUGCCGGUCUGCUUCCUCCUCCCACAAACAAGGUAGGAAGGAGCAGAAGGGGGCUCCCGGGGGGUCAGCUCUGUGUGGCUGCUGGUGUCCCCCCUCCCCCGGGCUGUGGGCACCGUCCUGCCAACAGGGCGGCCCAGGGCCAGAGGCAGGCAGGGCUGCAUGGCCCUGGUCGUCAGUCCAGCUCUCGGUCUCCGGGGAGGUGAGGGGCCAGCUGGCGGUCACCCCGGGAAGGAGUGGCUUUGUUGUGGAAGCCCAGUGGUCAGGGGUUAGGCCUGCAGAGUUGGGGGCCAGGCCCCACAGACCCAGCUAGAGGGGCUUUGUGGACCACUCUGCUGCCCCCACCCCCUAGGCUGAGCCCCUGAGGCCACGAGACCUUGUCCUGGGACAGCUUCUCUCCGGCCUUCUGCAUUCUCUUUCUUUUGUGGGGGCAGAGCCUUGUGCAAAGUCUGUACAAAGCGGUAUUCACUGAGUACCUCCAGGCCUUGGUCACCCAUCUCAAGAGGCUGAAGCCCCGGAAGUGGGAAGACCACCGGGGUCAGGUGGAAACGGACGUCCGGGAGCUGCGUGAGGCUUUCGGGAGGCAGGAGGUGAGCCCGGGACCCUCGGGGGCUUCCGAGGGGCCGCCUUCCCCUUCCCGGUGAGUCUCUCUUCUCCCCUGACCGGCCUGGAGCCGGCCGUCCCUCCUGCCCUGCCGGG